AGGUGAUAUGAACCGUUAUAACCGGCGAUUUCCGAAUGGGGAAACCCAGUGUGAUUCGUCACACUAUCAUUAACUGAAUCCAUAGGUUAAUGAGGCGAACCGGGGGAACUGAAACAUCUAAGUACCCCGAGGAAAAGAAAUCAACCGAGAUUCCCCCAGUAGCGGCGAGCGAACGGGGAGGAGCCCAGAGCCUGAAUCAGUGUGUGUGUUAGUGGAAGCGUCUGGAAAGGCGCGCGAUACAGGGUGACAGCCCCGUACACAAAAAUGCACAUACUGUGAGCUCGAUGAGUAGGGCGGGACACGUGGUAUCCUGUCUGAAUAUGGGGGGACCAUCCUCCAAGGCUAAAUACUCCUGACUGACCGAUAGUGAACCAGUACCGUGAGGGAAAGGCGAAAAGAACCCCGGCGAGGGGAGUGAAAAAGAACCUGAAACCGUGUACGUACAAGCAGUGGGAGCCUCUUUAUGGGGUGACUGCGUACCUUUUGUAUAAUGGGUCAGCGACUUAUAUUCUGUAGCAAGGUUAACCGAAUAGGGGAGCCGAAGGGAAACCGAGUCUUAACUGGGCGUUAAGUUGCAGGGUAUAGACCCGAAACCCGGUGAUCUAGCCAUGGGCAGGUUGAAGGUUGGGUAACACUAACUGGAGGACCGAACCGACUAAUGUUGAAAAAUUAGCGGAUGACUUGUGGCUGGGGGUGAAAGGCCAAUCAAACCGGGAGAUAGCUGGUUCUCCCCGAAAGCUAUUUAGGUAGCGCCUCGUGAAUUCAUCUCCGGGGGUAGAGCACUGUUUCGGCAAGGGGGUCAUCCCGACUUACCAACCCGAUGCAAACUGCGAAUACCGGAGAAUGUUAUCACGGGAGACACACGGCGGGUGCUAACGUCCGUCGUGAAGAGGGAAACAACCCAGACCGCCAGCUAAGGUCCCAAAGUCAUGGUUAAGUGGGAAACGAUGUGGGAAGGCCCAGACAGCCAGGAUGUUGGCUUAGAAGCAGCCAUCAUUUAAAGAAAGCGUAAUAGCUCACUGGUCGAGUCGGCCUGCGCGGAAGAUGUAACGGGGCUAAACCAUGCACCGAAGCUGCGGCAGCGACACUAUGUGUUGUUGGGUAGGGGAGCGUUCUGUAAGCCUGCGAAGGUGUACUGUGAGGUAUGCUGGAGGUAUCAGAAGUGCGAAUGCUGACAUAAGUAACGAUAAAGCGGGUGAAAAGCCCGCUCGCCGGAAGACCAAGGGUUCCUGUCCAACGUUAAUCGGGGCAGGGUGAGUCGACCCCUAAGGCGAGGCCGAAAGGCGUAGUCGAUGGGAAACAGGUUAAUAUUCCUGUACUUGGUGUUACUGCGAAGGGGGGACGGAGAAGGCUAUGUUGGCCGGGCGACGGUUGUCCCGGUUUAAGCGUGUAGGCUGGUUUUCCAGGCAAAUCCGGAAAAUCAAGGCUGAGGCGUGAUGACGAGGCACUACGGUGCUGAAGCAACAAAUGCCCUGCUUCCAGGAAAAGCCUCUAAGCAUCAGGUAACAUCAAAUCGUACCCCAAACCGACACAGGUGGUCAGGUAGAGAAUACCAAGGCGCUUGAGAGAACUCGGGUGAAGGAACUAGGCAAAAUGGUGCCGUAACUUCGGGAGAAGGCACGCUGAUAUGUAGGUGAAGCGACUUGCUCGUGGAGCUGAAAUCAGUCGAAGAUACCAGCUGGCUGCAACUGUUUAUUAAAAACACAGCACUGUGCAAACACGAAAGUGGACGUAUACGGUGUGACGCCUGCCCGGUGCCGGAAGGUUAAUUGAUGGGGUUAGCGGUAACGCGAAGCUCUUGAUCGAAGCCCCGGUAAACGGCGGCCGUAACUAUAACGGUCCUAAGGUAGCGAAAUUCCUUGUCGGGUAAGUUCCGACCUGCACGAAUGGCGUAAUGAUGGCCAGGCUGUCUCCACCCGAGACUCAGUGAAAUUGAACUCGCUGUGAAGAUGCAGUGUACCCGCGGCAAGACGGAAAGACCCCGUGAACCUUUACUAUAGCUUGACACUGAACAUUGAGCCUUGAUGUGUAGGAUAGGUGGGAGGCUUUGAAGUGUGGACGCCAGUCUGCAUGGAGCCGGCCUUGAAAUACCACCCUUUAAUGUUUGAUGUUCUAACGUUGGCCCCUGACCGGGGUUGCGGACAGUGUCUGGUGGGUAGUUUGACUGGGGCGGUCUCCUCCUAAAGAGUAACGGAGGAGCACGAAGGUUGGCUAAUCCUGGUCGGACAUCAGGAGGUUAGUGCAAUGGCAUAAGCCAGCUUGACUGCGAGCGUGACGGCGCGAGCAGGUGCGAAAGCAGGUCAUAGUGAUCCGGUGGUUCUGAAUGGAAGGGCCAUCGCUCAACGGAUAAAAGGUACUCCGGGGAUAACAGGCUGAUACCGCCCAAGAGUUCAUAUCGACGGCGGUGUUUGGCACCUCGAUGUCGGCUCAUCACAUCCUGGGGCUGAAGUAGGUCCCAAGGGUAUGGCUGUUCGCCAUUUAAAGUGGUACGCGAGCUGGGUUUAGAACGUCGUGAGACAGUUCGGUCCCUAUCUGCCGUGGGCGCUGGAGAACUGAGGGGGGCUGCUCCUAGUACGAGAGGACCGGAGUGGACGCAUCACUGGUGUUCGGGUUGUCAUGCCAAUGGCACUGCCCGGUAGCUAAAUGCGGAAGAGAUAAGUGCUGAAAGCAUCUAAGCACGAAACUUGCCCCGAGAUGAGUUCUCCCUGACUCCUUGAGAGUCCUGAAGGAACGUUGAAGACGACGACGUUGAUAGGCCGGGUGUGUAAGCGCAGCGAUGCGUUGAGCUAACCGGUACUAAUGAACCGUGAGGCUUAACCUUACAACGCCGAAG
rnacentral:rRNA from 1 species